ACGGAGGGUGCGAGCGUUGUCCGGAAUCACUGGGCGUAAAGGGCGCGUAGGCGGCCUGGUAAGGCUGUGGUGAAAGCCCGGGGCUCAACCCCGGGUCUGCCGUGGCGACUGCUGGGCUGGAGCACUGUAGAGGCGGGUAGAAUUCCGGGUGUAGCGGUGGAAUGCGUAGAGAUGCGGAGGAACACCGAUGGCGAAGGCAGCCCCCUGGGCUGACACUGACGCUCAGGCACGAAAGCGUGGGGAGCAAACAGGA
rnacentral:rRNA from 1 species